UAAUACUCACCAACUUUGAGAAGGUUGGUCUCUGCUCUUCUGUAUACUUUUUAUGAGGCAGUAUCACUUAGGGCUUAAGGUUUAAACUUUCUUUUUCUCUCUGUGUUCAUUUCAUAUUGAGAUUAUGGAUAAAAAGUUUGUUCUGACAUUGCUUAACAUUUUUCUUUAAUCAUGUGAUUACAGAAAUUCAAUGACUUACAAAACAAUAAAUGUACCUUAGAAUGAAAAAUGCAUCAGUAAGGUCUGUAUUUAAAUGUGGAUUUAGACAUCAUAAUUACCAAGACAAGAAAUUGUUUUGAGAAAUUCUCUGAUGUUUUUCUUCUUCAGGUUUCACGUGCCACGAUCAUGGUGCCACGGUACUUCAGUAUGCACCCAAACAGCAACUCCUAAUCUCGGGGGGUAGGAAAGGACACGUCUGCAUUUUUGACAUCAGGCAAAGGCAGCUCAUUCACACGUUCCAGGCCCAUGACUCAGCUAUUAAGGCUCUGGCCUUGGAUCCCUAUGAGGAAUAUUUUACCACAGGUUCAGCAGAAGGUAACAUAAAGGUUUGGAGAUUGACAGGCCAUGGCCUAAUUCAUUCAUUUAAAAGUGAACAUGCUAAGCAGUCCAUAUUUCGAAACAUUGGGGCUGGAGUCAUGCAGAUUGACAUCAUCCAGGGCAAUCGGCUCUUCUCCUGUGGUGCAGAUGGCACGCUGAAAACCAGGGUUUUGCCCAAUGCUUUUAACAUCCCUAACAGAAUCCUUGACAUUCUAUAAAGAUUGGGGUUUUAUUUUUAUAUACAUUUCAGUUAAAAGGCACACUACAGUCAUCACUAGGCAAUUCUGCUUUCUAAGCAGUUGUAUUGAAAACAGAGAAUCUCUGUGUAGAAUUUGAAUAUGACCCAAGCUGAGUAUUAUCUAAACAGGUUGGUGGAAUGAAUGCGCAUGUACCUUAUUAUGCUGACAUACUAAAAAAAAAUAAAACCUAGUAUUGUAUGAAGGAUAGCUAUUCUUUACAGCAUUUAGCAAACCUGAUUCAGAAAACAUUUGAGAUUAGCAAAUUAGUAACUUGAAAUAAUGAAAAGAACGUUUAUACCAAAUUAAGGAAGAAAAUGUUGCUGAUUUGGGUUUUUCUUCCUGUUCUUACCACUGACUGAAGCAUGCCUGCAGUCUCCUCCUCUGUUGAAUGAAGGAUAAUCAUAAGGUGUUUGUUAGGAGCGCUAGACCACCUGGAAAACUUUCUUAGCUGUGGAGCAGUGCGCAGUGACCAGUUCUCUGCUGUGAGAGGCCAUUUCCAUUCUUUCCUGCUGAAUAUUUUUCCUGUUGGUGUUUAUACUGAGCUAGUACUGUAACUUGCAAAUGAGUGCAAAUUUAAAUGCAAUGUUUUACUCACAAUUUGCACAUUCACAUUUUGGACUGCUAGUUUUUCUAUUUAAAUAUUUGCCUUCAUGUUAGGAAUGUACUAUGUGAACAUGACAUAUUUGUAGUUAACCAAACACACCUUCUUAGUCCAGUUUAGUACUUUUUCUUUUCGUGUAUUCAAGGUUAAACACCCAAACAUUUAAGGAUAUGUUGAAACUACACCAAUAGAGCAUUUCAUAUCAUAAUUAAAAUGAAUGUUAGGCUUCUUGUGGCCAGUUAAUAGUUGAUGAGAUUGGUGAUAUUAUUUAUUGCCACAGCCUAUUGUAUAAACUAUGCAGAGUUAAAUAUUUGCUUGUAAAAUAUUAGCCAAUGUUGUCAUUAUUUUGAUGUAUUUCCUUGGUUAUGACCAAAAAUAUGUUGAGAUACUGAAACUAAUGUCUCUGUGUUUAAAUGUUUACCAGCAAAUUGUCUUAUCAUGUUAAUGAGAAUGUUCAAUGCCUGUGUGGUAAAUAGUAAAUACAAUGGCAUAAAAGUAACUUUCUCUGAAGAUGUGAUGUUCAGGCUGUGAAAUAUAUAUGUAAAAGAAAAAUAAAUGUUAUUUGUUAGA
rnacentral:sRNA from 1 species